GACUCGGUAGCUUAGUUGGAAAAGCACUUGUCUAGCGUAUAAGGGUCGUGAGUUCAAAUCUCACCUGAGCUG
rnacentral:tRNA from 1 species